rnacentral:tmRNA from 1 species
GGGGAUGAUCGGUUUCGACAUUGCCUGCAAAACCACGAGAAGCGGGUCGAGGAUGCAGUCUUAUCUCGUAAACGAUGGCUGCAAAACAUAAGUGCCAAUUCCAAGCGCACUGACUUCGCUCUCGCUGCCUAAGCGAGCGCACUAAAGAAGUUCGUCAGACCGGGGAUGCCCUCUACCCGGAUCCUGGCGUCAUCUAGAGGGAUUGCUUCGCAGUUGCGCCUCAGGGCUGCGGGGGACUUGCACUGAUGCUGGGCUUGUUGACCUAGAUGCUUGUGGCAAAGGUCAGAGCCGAGUAGAACGCUUGCACAAGCUACGCCCGUAGAAGGCGUGGAAUUACAGCAAUGGACGGGGGUUCAAUUCCCCCCAUCUCCACCA